rnacentral:rRNA from 1 species
GGGGAUGCGCGGGACCUGAUCUGGUAGUAGCCAAGCGAUGGGGUGACGCAGGAAGGUAGCUGAGCCAGUCAGUGGUAAUACUGGUGUAAGCGUGUAGGGAGUGGCAUAGGCAAAUCCGUGCUGCACAUAUCCUGAGACGUGAUGCAUAGCCGAUUGAGGCGAAUUCAGUGAUCCUAUGCUGCCGAGAAAAGCCUCUAGCGAGCUUUUACACGGCCCGUACCCCAAACCGACACAGGUGGUCAGGUAGAGAAUACUAAGGCGAUCGAGAUAACUAUGGUUAAGGAACUCGGCAAAAUGCCCCCGUAACUUCGGGAGAAGGGGGGCCUCGUCUGGUGAUCCAACUUGCUUGGUGAGCUGGGUGGGGCCGCAGAGACCAGUGAGAAGCGACUGUUUACUAAAAACACAGGUCCGUGCGAAGUCGUAAGACGAUGUAUACGGACUGACGCCUGCCCGGUGCUGGAAGGUUAAGAGGACCGGUUAGCUUUUCGGAGCGAAGCUGAGAAUUUAAGCCCCAGUAAACGGCGGUGGUAACUAUAACCAUCCUAAGGUAGCGAAAUUCCUUGUCGGGUAAGUUCCGACCUGCACGAAUGGCGUAACGACUUCUCAGCUGUCUCAACCAUAGACUCGGCGAAAUUGCAUUACGAGUAAAGAUGCUCGUUACGCGCGGCAGGACGAAAAGACCCCGGGACCUUCACUAUAGCUUGGUAUUGGUGUUCGGUUCGGUUUGUGUAGGAUAGGUGGGAGACUGUGAAGCGGGCACGCCAGUGUUCGUGGAGUCAUUGUUGAAAUACCACUCUGAUCGUAUUGGACAUCUAACCUCGGACCAUGAUCUGGUUCAGGGACAGUGCCUGGUGGGUAGUUUAACUGGGGCGGUUGCCUCCCAAAAUGUAACGGAGGCGCCCAAAGGUUCCCUCAGCCUGGUUGGCAAUCAGGUGUUGAGUGCAAGUGCACAAGGGAGCUUGACUGUGAGACUGACAGGUCGAGCAGGGACGAAAGUCGGGACUAGUGAUCCGGCACCGGCAAGUGGAAGCGGUGUCGCUCAACGGAUAAAAGGUACCCCGGGGAUAACAGGCUGAUCUUCCCCAAGAGUCCAUAUCGACGGGAUGGUUUGGCACCUCGAUGUCGGCUCGUCGCAUCCUGGGGCUGGAGUAGGUCCCAAGGGUUGGGCUGUUCGCCCAUUAAAGCGGCACGCGAGCUGGGUUUAGAACGUCGUGAGACAGUUCGGUCUCUAUCCGCCGCGCGCGUUAGAAACUUGAGGAAGGCUGUCCCUAGUACGAGAGGACCGGGACGGACGAACCUCUGGUGUGCCAGUUGUUCCGCCAGGAGCACCGCUGGUUAGCUACGUUCGGAAGGGAUAACCGCUGAAAGCAUCUAAGCGGGAAGCCUGUUCCAAGAUGAGGUUUCUCACCCCCUCGAGGGGGUAAGGCCCCCGGCAGACCACCGGGUUGAUAGGCCAGAACUGGAAGCACGGUAACGUGUGCAGGUGACUGGUACUAAUAGGCCGAGGACUUACCACA